rnacentral:rRNA from 1 species
UUCAGCAUUUAGGGUNGUUUUAGCUGAUCUUGUCUGAGCUUAGAAGCUAACCAAGGACAGCUUUGNGUAAUACUUGAAUGGAAAACUGCCUGGGAAUAUCAGGUGCUGGAG